UUAAAAUGUAAGAUAUCUCUGAAUGUGCUCAAUCUCAUCCAACCUUGGAAGCUAAGCAGGAUCUAGCUUGGUUAGCAUUUGGAUGAGAUUCCAUCUGGGAAUAUGGUGCAC
rnacentral:rRNA from 1 species